GCUUGCCUGGGGGCAGGAUGGCUCUCCGAGCCCAGCUUGGCUGCCGGCCUCCUUCUCUGAGUAAGUGCUUUUCUCUCCCUUCACCUGGGACCCUCAAGAGGGUGGAGGAGAAGAGAGUCUGAGAGCAAAAGGAAAGCCUGACUGCCUUUGAUGCCCUUGGGGAAGAAGGGGAGGAAAGACGGUGGGUGAGGGGCUUCCUGCUGCAGCCUUCAGUGGGACACUUAGGGCUGGGGGUCACUGGAGAAGGAGGUGGCUUCCUGCCCCAUUGUUCAGGACUUCAUUGUUUCUCAGGAAUACUUAUUGUAUGUGAAUUUUCAAUAAUUAACUUGGAAAGCUGCACGUGUUCCCGUCAUUCAGCAAACACUGAGCACCUACUGGGUACAGAGGUGGCAGCAGAGCCCCUCAUCACGGAAAGGGGCCAGAAAACCCACUGGGCCAGGGUCUCCAAGUUAGCUUUUGACAUUAUCUCCGAAUGGGGUUAUACAUUAUGUCAGAUCCACUAACUAAUUUGAUGAAAGACCCUCAUUCUUUGUCCUUAAGCUUGUUUCUUAUUAACAAAGACUGCUAUGCCUGUGGAGCACUAUGCAUUAUUGUAUUUUAAUAAAUCCUGUAAUCAUCUUGUGAGCAGCCCAAUUAUGGUGUAAUUUUUUGAAUUAGAAGCAUUAAGGUAUUAAACAUGGAAAAACAUGCCUCAGUAUUUAUUUGUGAACUUGUUUUGUCGUUUCUUCAUUUUCAAAUAUACCAGGAGCCUGAAAAAAAAUCGAAGCGUCCUGGGCUCCCCUUGACCCCCGCGCGGAGCAGAGAUGAAGCGUCAUUCCAGCACGAGUUGGGGACACGGGGGACACACCGACAGCAGUCGUUGCAGGCCAAGUGCUGUAGUAUGUGUGUGCGGGGAGAUAGGACACGGACCCUCACAAUGACCUCGGGGCUGCUGUGACGAUUAAAUGUAGCAGUCUACCCUCCCCUGGGAAGACUUCCAGUGGCAAAGUUCAUGCGAACUCCCUUGCAGCUCGGCCCGUCUUUGUCUUUGACGUGAAGGAGGAGAGGGAGUUAAAUCACGAGUCCCAGCCAACAGGCUGUGUGCAAGGACUGCGUGACGAGGAGGAGCACAGCAUGGCCAGCGUGGCUGGAGCACGAAGUAUGGGGGCAGGGCAGAGGCCAGCCCCCCACCGCCUGUGGAUCCUGCCAGACACAGUGGGGGAAAUGGAAGGCCUGAAACGCGGGGUGGUAGAGUGGGGGCUCUAGAACACCAUCAGAUUUGCAAUUUUGAAAAGCCUAUUCCGGUCAGUGCCGGGACAGCAUGGACUGGAGCGGGUCCAGAGUGGACACAGGAAGACCAGCGGGGAGGGUACUGACGUCGGCUGAUGAACACAGUCUGAGGCCUAUUCAUGCUCUUCUGUGUCCUUUUGUGAACGCAGACGCGUACUGUAUAGACGUGCGGACUGGAGCCGACUUGUUCUUGUGCUGUUUAAUCUGACUCAUCUCCUUUGUAAACAGUAAGGUUAUUGAGGGCGGAGAUUCAGCGUUUGUAUUUUUUCCUGUGCUGUAACUCCCCCUGACACCAGGAGCACAAUGGGUAUUGAGACUGUGACUACGGAAAGUCACCCCGUGGGGCUGCCUGAAGCAGCCCGAAGUCACAUUUCUCGACACAGUGAUAUCGAUAAUUAGUGCUUUUGGUUUCUAGACAUUUGGAUGGGGGAUUUGAUCAUGGCAAAGAAAAAGCUGGGUAGCUAAACGCUUACUACUCAAAGCGUGGUCUGUGGACCAGCAGCAUCAGCAGCACCUGGAAGCUUGUAAGAAAUAAAAAAUCUCAAAUAAAUAAAUAAAUAAAUAAA
ensembl:lncRNA